UACGUAGGGCGCAAGCGUUAUCCGGAAUUAUUGGGCGUAAAGAGCUCGUAGGCGGUUUGUCGCGUCUGCCGUGAAAGUCCGGGGCUCAACUCCGGAUCUGCGGUGGGUACGGGCAGACUAGAGUGUGGUAGGGGAGACUGGAAUUCCUGGUGUAGCGGUGAAAUGCGCAGAUAUCAGGAGGAACACCGGUGGCGAAGGCGGAUCUCUGGGCCAUUACUGACGCUGAGGAGCGAAAGCGUGGGGAGCGAACAGG
rnacentral:rRNA from 1 species